rnacentral:misc_RNA from 1 species
GUUACCUAUCUCACUUGAAGGAUCAGCUAUGUGCUGUUAAUCAUAUUUGUUUAUUUUUCAAUUGACUAUAGAUUGUUCACAUUAAAUUUUAUAAGAAAUUUGCACUUUUUUAUGUGUCUCCUCAGUCAGCUUCAUCAUGGGGUUGCUCAAAUUGAAAAAUUGAAGGUCAUUCGUUAGAAAAAAAUAGUUUCCUUCACAUGGAAAGGAAUUCAAUGAGGUUUUGAUUUGCUAGAUGGAUUAUGUCCUUUAUCAGUCGGCUUUUUGUGUCUUUUUAUUUAUUUUAUCUUUCUUUUUAAUUUGAUUUCCCAAAGUUUUUUCUUGGAUUGUUUAGCUUUCCCAAAAUUAAAUCCUUCAUCAAUAGCAUAACAGUCUCCUCACUAAUAUAGAAUAACCCUGAAAAACUUUUGCAUGGGAAUUCUAUAUAGUUACUUUUUAGCCUUUAUCAAUCGCAACAUUUAUAAUAAUUCAGAUUAUGUGUUUCUUAAUUUUCUUGAUUGAAUCUGAUUAAGAAACUCUUCAUAAUUGGCAAUUGAAUCACAGGCAUAUUUUGUGGCAGAGAAUAUGAAUGUUGAUGUCGAUCAUUAUAAGGUUUUAGGGCUACCUUCUGGUGAGGAGGGGGCUAAGCUUACAGAAGAGGAAGUAUCACAAGCAUAAAAGCUGAAGGCUUUAGAGUUGUGCCUAGAUAAGAGACCAGAUGACCCAAAUGCCCAUGCCAAUUUCCAAAAGCUCAAGUCAUCAUAUGAGAUUCUCAAGGAUGAGAAAGCCCGCAAAUUAUUUGAUGAUCUCCUCCGACUUAAGCGGGAGAGGUAUUUUCGCUCAUCUCAAAAGGAUGCCAAGAGACAAAAGAUGGUUUCUGAUACUGAAAAAAGAAAGCGGGCAGCCUUUGCACCAGACCUGCUGCCAGGGCUCAGGAGGAAGAGGAUAUGAUUGCUAGGAAGCUUGAAGAAGAGAUAGCAAGAAUACGCGCAAUGCUUGCAAAUAAAGGAGCACUUGCAGCUUCAGCUUUAAAGAGAGAGUAGGAGUGACAAAGGACAGUGGGAUUAUUAUUAAUGCAGGUAGGGAGAAGAUGCUUAAGGUUUCUUGGGAAAAAGUGGCAUGGACUGUACUUCAGAAAGAUUGAAAGAGUUGUUUUCAAGGUUUGGUUAGGUUGAGGAUGUGGUAAUCAGCAGUUCCAAGAAAAAGCACUCUGCACUUGUUCAAAUGGUUGCUGCUAUGGGAACUGUCUCUGGCAAUCUAUCUAAUCCACUUCUAGUUGUACCUUUUAAACUGGCUACUGGAACAAAGCUUUCAAGUGUGCAGCAAUCCACGGAAUCUGGUUGCCAAAAUAAUUUGGGUGGCACUGGUUACAAGGCAUAUGUUUUAGAGAAAUUCCAAAAGGCUGCGGCAGCAAAAAACCAAAAAUGAUAUGCGGCAGCAUUUUGAUGCUCAAUGAUGCAUUAGUGCCUGUAUCUUCCCAUGGCCAAAUGUAAAGGUAACUAAGGAAUGACGUGCUCCAUAAUGAUCCCACGUUCCCAGUUUUUGCAUGAGCAUGUUCUUGUACUUUCAAGUUUUGAUUUCUGACGUACCCUGCAAGUAUUUGACCAUUUGAGCAAUCCUUCAACUAAGGCAUAGUGUCUCCAAUUUCAAGUGUGUCAUGUGACAAGGAACAGUUUUUCCAGGUGAUUGAAGCAUGAUUGCUGGGGGCUUUUCAGACGGUUUAUUGGGACAGAUAAUUCAAUUGUCUUCCAGGUGACUGCUCCAAGGAAGUUGCCGACUCUUUUCAAGAUCUGAUUCUCCAUUUUUGUUGGUACAAAUUGAUCUCAUUAACUUUGGGGAGUUAGUGGUGCUGAGACUAGGCUUUGGGGUGUAGACUGUACAUUAUAAGCAUCUGUUUUGGGGAAGGGUAACCCUCUGUUUGCUACUAUUUGAUAUUUCAUAUGAAUAUGCUUACUGAUACACGCUUAUUGGAGGGAAAGUGUAAUUUUUUUCUUUUUCAUCUUCUCCAAUAGCAUUGGCAUAUGCCUCUUUUUGGUUUUUAGCUUUUGGAUAUAAUUGAUGCUCGUUGAUAACCGAUUGAAGCUCAUCUAUUUUAAGCCAUGAUGAAAUUUUG